GACGAACGCUGGCGGCGUGCUUAACACAUGCAAGUCGAACGGAAAGGCCCUGCUUGCAGGGUGCUCGAGUGGCGAACGGGUGAGUAACACGUGGGUGAUCUGCCCCUUACUUUGGGAUAAGCCUGGGAAACUGGGUCUAAUACUGGAUAGGACCAUGCUGUAGGUGGUGUGGUGGAAAGAUUAGUUUCGGUAAGGGAUGAGCUCGCGGCCUAUCAGCUUGUUGGUGGGGUAAUGGCCUACCAAGGCGUCGACGGGUAGCCGGCCUGAGAGGGUGGACGGCCACAUUCGGACUGAGAUACGGCCCAGACUCCUACGGGAGGCAGCAGUGGGGAAUAUUGCACAAUGGGCGCAAGCCUGAUGCAGCGACGCCGCGUGGGGGAUGACGGCCUUCGGGUUGUAAACUCCUUUCAGCCAUGACGAAGCCCUUGUGGUGACGGUAGUGGUAGAAGAAGCACCGGCUAACUACGUG
rnacentral:rRNA from 1 species